GAGUUUGAACCUGGCUCAGGACGAACGCUGGCGGCGUGCCUAAUACAUGCAAGUCGAGCGAGCUUGCCUAGAUGAUUUUAGUGCUUGCACUAAAUGAAACUAGAUACAAGCGAGCGGCGGACGGGUGAGUAACACGUGGGUAACCUGCCCAAGAGACUGGGAUAACACCUGGAAACAGAUGCUAAUACCGGAUAACAACACUAGACGCAUGUCUAGAGUUUGAAAGAUGGUUCUGCUAUCACUCUUGGAUGGACCUGCGGUGCAUUAGCUAGUUGGUAAGGUAACGGCUUACCAAGGCAAUGAUGCAUAGCCGAGUUGAGAGACUGAUCGGCCACAUUGGGACUGAGACACGGCCCAAACUCCUACGGGAGGCAGCAGUAGGGAAUCUUCCACAAUGGACGAAUGUCUGAUGGAGCAACGCCGCGUGAGUGAAGAAGGGUUUCGGCUCGUAAAGCUCUGUUGGUAGUGAA
rnacentral:rRNA from 1 species